UAUGUACUCCCUCCGUUCAGAAUUACUUGUCUCGGAAAUGGAUGUGUCUAGAACGAAAAUACAUCUAGAGACAUCCAUUUCCGCGACAAGUAAUUCCGAACGGAGGGAGUACAUC
rfam:Triticum aestivum genome assembly, contig: Triticum_aestivum_CS42_TGACv1_scaffold_072882_1DL